AUUGAACGCUGGCGGCAUGCUUUACACAUGCAAGUCGAACGGCAGCGCGGGCUUCGGCCUGGCGGCGAGUGGCGAACGGGUGAGUAAUACAUCGGAACGUGCCCAGUAGUGGGGGAUAGCUCGGCGAAAGCCGGAUUAAUACCGCAUACGACCUGAGGGUGAAAGCGGGGGAUCUUCGGACCUCGCGCUAUUGGAGCGGCCGAUGGCAGAUUAGCUAGUUGGUGGGGUAAAGGCCUACCAAGGCGACGAUCUGUAGCUGGUCUGAGAGGACGACCAGCCACACUGGGACUGAGACACGGCCCAGACUCCUACGGGAGGCAGCAGUGGGGAAUUUUGGACAAUGGGCGAAAGCCUGAUCCAGCAAUGCCGCGUGUGUGAUGAAGGCCUUCGGGUUGUAAAGCACUUUUGGCGGGAACGAAAAGGACUGUGCCAAUACCACGGUUCGAUGACGGUACCCGCAGAAUAGGCACCGGCUAACUACGUG
rnacentral:rRNA from 1 species